rnacentral:rRNA from 1 species
AGAUUGAACGCUGGCGGCAGGCCUAACACAUGCAAGUCGAGCGGCAGCACGGGUACUUGUACCUGGUGGCGAGCGGCGGACGGGUGAGUAAUGCCUAGGAAUCUGCCUGGUAGUGGGGGAUAACGCUCGGAAACGGACGCUAAUACCGCAUACGUCCUACGGGAGAAAGCAGGGGACCUUCGGGCCUUGCGCUAUCAGAUGAGCCUAGGUCGGAUUAGCUAGUUGGUGGGGUAAUGGCUCACCAAGGCGACGAUCCGUAACUGGUCUGAGAGGAUGAUCAGUCACACUGGAACUGAGACACGGUCAGACUACCUACGGGAGCAGCAGGUGGGGAAUAGUUGGAACAAGUCGGGACG